UGGCCAUACCACCUGAACACGCCCGAUCUCGUCUGAUCUCGGAAGCUAAGCAGGGUCGGGCCUGGUUAGUACUUGGAUGGGAGACCUCCUGGGAAUACUGGGUGCUGUAGG
rnacentral:rRNA from 1 species